GAUGAACGCUAGCGACAGGCUUAACACAUGCAAGUCGAGGGGCAGCGGGGUGUGGCAACACAUCGCCGGCGACCGGCGCACGGGUGAGUAACGCGUAUACAACUUGCCUAUCAGAGGGGGAUAACCCGUCGAAAGACGGACUAAUACCGCAUGAAACAGGGGUCCCGCAUGGGGAUAUUUGUUAAAGAUUUUAUCGCUGAUAGAUAGGCAUGCGUUCCAUUAGGUAGUUGGUGGGGCAACGGCCCACCAAGCCGACGAUGGAUAGGGGGUCCUGAGAGGAAGGUCCCCCCACACUGGUACUGAGACACGGACCAGACUCCUACGGGAGGCAGCAGUGAGGAAUAUUGGGUCAAUGGGCAGAGCCUGAACCAGCCAAGUCGCGUGAGGGACGAAGGCCCUA
rnacentral:rRNA from 1 species